rnacentral:rRNA from 1 species
UGGGGAAUCUUGGACAAUGGGCGCAAGCCUGAUCCAGCCAUGCCGCGUGAGUGAAGAAGGCCUUCGGGUUGUAAAGCUCUUUUACCAGGGACGAUAAUGACGGUACCUGGAGAAUAAGCCCCGGCAAACUUCGUGCCAGCAGCCGCGGUAAUACGAAGGGGGCUAGCGUUGUUCGGAAUUACUGGGCGUAAAGCGCACGUAGGCGGAUUGUUAAGUCAGAGGUGAAAUCCCGGAGCUCAACUUCGGAACUGCCUUUGAUACUGGCAAUCUAGAGUCCAGAAGAGGUUAGUGGAAUUCCCAGUGUAGAGGUGAAAUUCGUAGAUAUUGGGAAGAACACCAGUGGCGAAGGCGGCUAACUGGUCCGGUACUGACGCUGAGGUGCGAAAGCGUGGGGAGCAAACAGGAUUAGAUACUAGUCCCUGAGCGGGCUGGCAAGGCGCAU